AAUAGAUACCCUGGUAGUCCACGCCGUAAACGAUGAGUGCUAAGUGUUAGAGGGUUUCCGCCCUUUAGUGCUGCAGCUAGCGCAUUAAGCACUCCGCCUGGGGAGUACGGCCGCAAGGCUGAAACUCAAAGGAAUUGACGGGGGCCCGCACAAGCGGUGGAGCAUGUGGUUUAAUUCGAAGCAACGCGAAGAACCUUACCAGGUCUUGACAUCCUCUGCCAACCCUAGAGAUAGGGCGUUCCCCUUCGGGGGACAGAGUGACAGGUGGUGCAUGGUUGUCGUCAGCUCGUGUCGUGAGAUGUUGGGUUAAGUCCCGCAACGAGCGCAACCCUUGAUCUUAGUUGCCAGCAUUCAGUUGGGCACUCUAAGGUGACUGCCGGUGACAAACCGGAGGAAGGUGGGGAUGACGUCAAAUCAUCAUGCCCCUUAUGACCUGGGCUACACACGUGCUACAAUGGAUGGUACAAAGAGCUGCGAACCCGCGAGGGUAAGCGAAUCUCAUAAAGCCAUUCUCAGUUCGGAUUGU
rnacentral:rRNA from 1 species